rnacentral:rRNA from 1 species
UACGUAGGGUGCGAGCGUUGUCCGGAAUUAUUGGGCGUAAAGGGCUCGUAGGCGGUUUGUCGCGUCGGGAGUGAAAACCAGGUGCUUAACACCUGGCUUGCUUUCGAUACGGGCAGACUAGAGGUAUUCAGGGGAGAACGGAAUUCCUGGUGUAGCGGUGAAAUGCGCAGAUAUCAGGAGGAACACCUGUGGUGUAGACAGCUUACUGGACCAUAACUGACGCUGAGGCACGAAAGCGUGGGUAGCAAACAGG